AAGGGAGACCUAAUUCAGGUAGGAGACGAAAAAAAGUAGUCCCUACCAGGAAUCAAUCCCAAAAGGUCGGAGCGAGGCGAAAUUGGCUUUCAAACUAGGUUCUGGGUUCAAACAAGACCUGAAUCAGGAACAAGGGCUAUUAGCUCAGGUGGUUAGAGCGCACCCCUGAUAAGGGUGAGGUCCCUGGUUCGAGUCCAGGAUGGCCCACCUGCACAGGUGGCAAAAACAAGAGAAGCGAGGAAUCAGCACCUUAUCUUACUGACAUAGUAAGAGAGAAUGCUGGCUCUGAGUAAAGAGUCCAGAGGAACCUUGAAAACUGCAUAGAGCUAGGUGAAAAAGCCAAAAAAGAAGACCGCAAGGUCAAGCUAAUAAGGGCUAACGGUGGAUACCUAGGCAC
rnacentral:tRNA from 1 species